GUGAAUCAUCGAAUUUUUGAACGCAAAUUGCACUCUCUUCGGAGAGUAUGCCUGUUUGAGGGUCAGCCUAAAAAAAAAUUGACAUAUUAGCUGUUUCGCGGUGACCUUCGUCGGAAAUUGGGGCAUCUUAACCCUUUUGGUUCUAAUCGGCUUAAAAUUUUCUUUACGAUUCCACGAACGUUACUAAGAUUUACUUCUUAUA
rnacentral:misc_RNA from 1 species